rnacentral:lncRNA from 1 species
UUGAUGCUUGAUAAGCGACAUGGAAGCUUGGGAAAGAAGCGGGUCAAUCGGGACUAACGCGCACGGGAAGCAUAUUCGAAUGUUAGUGUGUGUUCUAGUUCGAUCGACCAGGGGAGAAGAAAAAGGGGUCUAAACCUAAUUUCAACAAAAGCAUCAAAUUGAAGGUCAAAUCUAGCCCGAAUCGGAUGCAUAAACACGUAUAAAUGAUCACCUAGUCGUGGGGAUCACAAGGUGAAUGUCAAGAGUGCCCGGAUGAAGAUCAAGCUCGAUGAGGAACCGAACACACGAUAUUAAAGCUUCCGCAUGGCGUUACGUCGUAACCUUUAAACGACGAACUCAAUUACAUCAUGUUGUACUAUUUUUUUAAAAAAAUUGUAAAAGUUUUAACUAACCUUAAUUAUCUAAAUUACAUGUCUGUUUCGUA